AUUGAACGCUGGCGGCAGGCCUAACACAUGCAAGUCGAGCGAGCGGCGGACGGGUGAGUACUGUCUGGGAAACUGCCUGAUGGCGGGGGAUAACUACUGGAAACGGUAGCUAAUACCGCAUACCAUCAGAUGUGCCUAGAUGGGAUUUGCUAGUAGGUGGGGUAACGGCUCACCUAGGCGACGAUCCAUAGCUGGUAUGAGAGGGUGACCAGCGACACUGGAACUGAGACACGGGCCAUACUCCUACGGGAGGCAGCAGUGGGGAAUAUGGGACAAUGGGCGCAAGCCUGAUGCAGCCAUGCCGAGUGUGUGAAGAAGGCCUUCGGGUUGGAAAGCACUUUCAGCGGGGAUGCGUUACCCGCAGGAGAAGCACCAGCUAACUCCGUACCAGCAGCCGCGGUAAUAC
rnacentral:rRNA from 1 species